CAUUUGCAUAUUGAUCAGAUGCUUCAGUGCUCUGAGAGUGUUUAUAGUGCUGUGAGUUUAACACUUCAUCACUGACACACACAACAAUCUUCAUCAACAUGACCUUCAUCAUCAUCUUCAUCUGGACUCUCACAGCGUUUGCUCAAGAGUGUAGAGGACAGAUCAGCGUCACUCAGAGUCCCUCAACGACAGCAGCUCAACCAGGAGAAACAGUGACGAUCAGCUGUAAAACCAGCACUGAUGUGACCAGAUUGCUUAAUCAGUAUGAUUGUUUAUCCUGGUACUUACAGAAACCUGGAGAAGCUCCUAAACUCCUGAUUUAUUGGACUGACAGUCUUGAGUCAGGAACUCCAUCUAGAUUCAGUGGCAGUGGAUCUAACAGUGAUUUCACUCUGACCAUCAGUGGAGUCCAGACUGAAGAUGCUGGACAUUAUUACUGUCAGAGUUACCACAGUGGUAAUGUGUUCACACAGUGA